GAGUAGUAAAUGUUUAGGGCAGGAAACUUAAAGAAUUUGGCGGUGUAUAUUCUAAUUAGAGGAAUAUGGUUUUUAAUUGAUAAUCCCCAAGUAUUUUACCUAAAUUUAUUUACUUUGUAUAUCUCCGUCUUAAAAAGACUUUUGUAAAUAUUCUUUUAAAUUUAUAAUCUUAAAUAAGUCAGGUCAAGGUGCAGGUGAUAUUUAGGUUAAAGUGUAUUACAAUAAAAUUAUUUUCAGAUUAAAUUUUAAAAAUUUUAUAAAGUUGGAUUUAUAAGUAAGAUUAUUUAAAAAAUAAUUUUCUGAAUAUGUUAAUAUACAUGCACACAUC
rnacentral:rRNA from 1 species